GACGGAUUCUGCCCGGUUCGCGCCGGGCUGUUCCCCAGUUACGACUGCAGAGCCUGGUGCCGGCACGAUGGCGAGUGCCCCCGAGAGGAGAAGUGCUGCCUCCGUGGCUGCGACUCCGUCUGCCUGCCCCCAUCCCCAGAGAAACCAGGCAUCUGCCCGCUGGCUGACGAGGCUCCGCUGGCCCCGUGUGGCACCGCCUGCACCAAGGACUGGCAGUGCCCGGGCGCUCAGAAGUGCUGCAGCAGCAGCAGAUGCGGCUCCGUGUGCUCAGCCCCCGAACCAG